AAAUUGAAGAGUUUGAUCAUGGCUCAGAUUGAACGCUGGCGGCAGGCCUAACACAUGCAAGUCGAGCGGAAACGAGUUAACUGAACCUUCGGGGAACGUUAACGGCGUCGAGCGGCGGACGGGUGAGUAAUGCCUGGGAAAUUGCCCUGAUGUGGGGGAUAACCAUUGGAAACGAUGGCUAAUACCGCAUAAUAGCCCGGUUCUUCGGAAUUGGUCUCAAAGAGGGGGACCUUUUAGGCCUCUCGCGUCAGGAUAUGCCCAGGUGGGAUUAGCUAGUUGGUGAGGUAAUGGCUCACCAAGGCGACGAUCCCUAGCUGGUCUGAGAGGAUGAUCAGCCACACUGGAACUGAGACACGGUCCAGACUCCUACGGGAGGCAGCAGUGGGGAAUAUUGCACAAUGGGCGCAAGCCUGAUGCAGCCAUGCCGCGUGUAUGAAGAAGGCCUUCGGGUUGUAAAGUACUUUCAGC
rnacentral:rRNA from 1 species